UACGUAGGGUGCAAGCGUUGUCCGGAAUCAUUGGGCGUAAAGAGCGUGUAGGCGGCCCGAUCAGUCCGCUGUAAAAGUCCAGGGCUCAACCCUGGAAGGCCGGUGGAUACUGUCGGGCUAGAGUCCGGAAGAGGCGAGUGGAAUUCCUGGUGUAGCGGUGAAAUGCGUAGAUAUCUGGAGGAACACCGGUGGCGAAGGCGGCAUCCUGGACCGAGAUUGACGCUGAUGCGCGAAAGCCAGGGGAGCAAACGGG
rnacentral:rRNA from 1 species